AUUGAACGCUGGCGGCAUGCUUUACACAUGCAAGUCGAACGGUAACAGGCCGCAAGGUGCUGACGAGUGGCGAACGGGUGAGUAAUGCAUCGGAACGUGCCCAGUCGUGGGGGAUAACUACUCGAAAGAGUAGCUAAUACCGCAUACGAUCUAUGGAUGAAAGCGGGGGACCGUAAGGCCUCGCGCGAUUGGAGCGGCCCAUGUCAGAUUAGGUAGUUGGUGGGGUAAAGGCUCACCAAGCCAACGAUCUGUAGCUGGUCUGAGAGGACGACCAGCCACACUGGAACUGGAACACGGCCCAGACUCCUACGGGAGGCAGCAGUGGGGAAUUUUGGACAAUGGGCGCAAGCCUGAUCCAGCAAUGCCGCGUGCAGGAAGAAGGCCUUCGGGUUGUAAACUGCUUUUGUACGGAACGAAACGGCUCUGGUUAAUACCCGGGGCUAAUGACGGUACCGUAAGAAUAAGCACCGGCUAACUACGUG
rnacentral:rRNA from 1 species